CUUGCUGACGAGUGGCGGACGGGUGAGUAAUGUCUGGGAAACUGCCUGAUGGAGGGGGAUAACUACUGGAAACGGUAGCUAAUACCGCAUAACGUCGCAAGACCAAAGAGGGGGACCUUCGGGCCUCUUGCCAUCGGAUGUGCCCAGAUGGGAUUAGCUAGUAGGUGGGGUAACGGCUCACCUAGGCGACGAUCCCUAGCUGGUCUGAGAGGAUGACCAGCCACACUGGAACUGAGACACGGUCCAGACUCCUACGGGAGGCAGCAGUGGGGAAUAUUGCACAAUGGGCGCAAGCCUGAUGCAGCCAUGCCGCGUGUAUGAAGAAGGCCUUCGGGUUGUAAAGUACUUUCAGCGGGGAGGAAGGGAGUAAAGUUAAUACCUUUGCUCAUUGACGUUACCCGCAGAAGAAGCACCGGCUAACUCCGUGCCAGCAGCCGCGGUAAUACGGAGGGUGCAAGCGUUAAUCGGAAUUACUGGGCGUAAAGCGCACGCAGGCGGUUUGUUAAGUCAGAUGUGAAAUCCCCGGGCUCAACCUGGGAACUGCAUCUGAUACUGGCAAGCUUGAGUCUCGUAGAGGGGGGUAGAAUUCCAGGUGUAGCGGUGAAAUGCGUAGAGAUCUGGAGGAAUACCGGUGGCGAAGGCGGCCCCCUGGACGAAGACUGACGCUCAGGUGCGAAAGCGUGGGGAGCAAACAGG
rnacentral:rRNA from 1 species